GCACUAUCGCUUGAUUUUUACAGGCUGUUUUGUUCGGGAAUAUGGAGCGAGGGGAGUUGACAGAGUAGGAGACUGCCAUCUACGAUGCUCA